CCAGGUCCUGUCAACAGUACCGCACGCUCUUUAGGCUAGAGCGAUAGAAGUCACCCAGUGACGUGCCACAGGCCGGACAUCUCCACAUCUUCCCAACACACACAGGCUCCUCGGUCCCUAGGCGGGCUAGCAACGCCGUCGCUCGUCAACCAGGAAAGGGGGUGAAAGUAGCCACCUGAACAACUGGACUCUCCUGCAUGGCAUUUUGGCCCCUCUGAGGUACCUUUACACUCAUCAGCAGGAUAUGAUGAACAAGACAAGCUGCACCAGAAGAUGCUGGCACAAUCA